rnacentral:misc_RNA from 1 species
GUUUACCUCUGAAAUGACCCAAUCAGAGUUGAUUCUAUACCUGCUGUGUCGCAAUCCGUGGCAACCUCCAUCUAGAGUUCAUCCGAAAUUUAAUUGUGAUGCGGCCUGGAAAGAGAGGUCAACCUUUUGCAGCAAUAGCGGAAAUAGCUAGGAAUCAUUCAAGUAGAUUGGUAGAUGGAGUGGCCAAGAAAUUCGUUCUCUUCCCCUUUAUUAGGCGAAGCAAAAGCACUUCUAGAAGCUGUACUGCUAGCAAAUCUAUGCGAAGCCCCUCUAUAAUUCUGAAAUCAGAUUUCAGUCAAUCAGCAGUGCUUAUAUCUGACUAUUAAUAACUCUCAAAAGUGCCAGCACUGGGAAAUUUAUGCCACUGUGCAAGCUAUCACGGCUAUAGUUCCCUAUAUUGCGCAAGUAGAACUUUCUAAUGUCAAUAGAAUGGUCAAUUCAGCAGCUCAUCACCUGGCUAAGCUUAGGUUUAAAAACCAGCUUCCUUGUAAUUGGCUCAGUGCCAUCCCUGAUUCGCUUUGGUCUAU